rnacentral:tRNA from 1 species
GCGCCAGCGGAAAGCAGGUAGCGUGCCGGUGCUCUGGCCGCCGUCGAGCGUGACCGAGGCGCUCUGGUCGACGGUCUGAUCGUCGCCGGCGCG